CCAAUCUACUUCAGAGAAGAUGAUGGGCAUUGAAGAAACUCCAUAUGGAGUUUACUUUCUUUGUGGCAAAAGUUAGCCACUGGGCAAGAAAAUUCUCUUGCCUUGACUGCUGACAGUAUCCUGUAAAAAGGGGACAAGCAGGACACAAAAGAAAGGACAGCUGAACUCUGCCAAGACAAGGCAACUGCUACUGAUAUGAAAACCAGUUCAUUGGUUCUGUCAUGGCUAGAAGACACAGAAAAAGUCUCACUGUGUUGCCCAGCCUGGUCUCAAACUUCUGAGCAUCCUGUACCAGCCUAAGUGCUGGGAUGAUAAGAAUGUGCCAUCGUGCCAGAUGGAGCAUUCAUGCCUGAUCACUGCAUGCCAUGAGUCUGCUAAUGUCUUUGAGUGAGAUCUUGUUCUUUUUUAUGAGAAUGGACUUAAAUCCUGCCACUAGAAGAGUGAGAACAAUAAGUGCAGCUCUCAUCCCUCAUUAAAGAAGCUUUGAUUCCAAAAUCAGUGGAGACUAUUACAGAGAUCCGGGACUACCAAAAAUGAAGAGAAAUGAAGCCAACCCCAACUGACACAUCUGCAAUGCAAUUCCUACACCUAAGGCUCAGGGAAAAGGAAAAAAAAGAGGGGAAGAAAGCCUGUGAGAUCCAGGGGCCUCCUACGCCCAUUGCUAGGCAGUGUUCCCUAGGUAAGAUAAGGGAAAUGCAUCCGUGGAAGCUAAGCAAUAUGGUUCCCUGAACAAGAUCAGCAUGGCAACAGCAACUGGCGUGUCAACAGUGACGGGAGUAAAUUACACGCCUCCCACCCCUAGAUGAAAAGCUGUAACACACCUCAUAACAAAGCCCCAGGUAGAUCAAUGGCUGCUGAGAAGAGCAGUAGUUUCCUCCAAGAUCAAGCUCCCACACAGUAAGCUCUAUCCCAAAUGGUUAGUGCCACACACAUGUACAUAUGCAUAAGGAUAAAUGGACUCAGAGGUUGUAUAUGUAUAUGUUUUAUUAUUAUUACUAACAAUAAUAAAGAAAAGACUGAAUUUGGGAAAGAAUGGCACCAGAGGAGUUUGAUGGUGGGGGAAGAGUAGGAAUGAUAUAGUUCCUGUGUUUGUGUAUGAAGUUCUAAAUAAAAGAAAAAUAAUGUGGCAAAUCAGUGUCAGGUAAUGGAAGGGCAGUCUUUCUUGAACAGUUGUUGAGGAGACUGAUUUAUAAAGGCCACUGCUCAUCUGUCAGUACUGUUGUAAUGCGGCAAUGGGAUUUCUGAAAAUAACUAUAUUCUAAGAGACUGGAACUUGAACCUCACAGUCCAAGUUAAUAUUAUAUCUUGAUGUCCCUUAAGACUGGUAUGCUACUGUAUACUAAAACUGUUUGCUUAAGCACCUUUUAGGAGAACAAUGUAACAACAAAUCCUACUUGCAUUGGAUUUUCUGUAUAAUCAACUCUACAACCUAAGCUAAUGCAUAGCUACAGUCUUAAUUUAUGUACUCUUCCAUGCCUCUGACUCAAAGUAAUCCAUGUGUAUUAUUUGCUGAAAGCUGAAAAUACAAAAGUUGAAAAGGGCUUCCUAAAAUCUGCUACAAAGGUCAAAAGCAACAAUUUAUGACAUUUGGUUGAUAAACAGUGAUGUCUGUUAUCUGGGUCAGUUUGAACUGGUGACUUAAUCCCUUGUAAAAUUCUGUUAGAGAUGUCUGUAAAGAAUCCCACUUCUUUCCAUGUGAUGCUUUCUAUGCUGUUCAAUAAAUCCAGAGUUAAGCCCUUUGUUAGGGACAGACAUAAACAACUCAUACAACAGAUAAACAGAGAGCUCAUCCAACAGCUCACACCACACAUAUAGAUUCACAAGAUAGCCUUCACUCAGGCACAGAUUUAGACUCACACAACAGCCUACAAUAUGGAAGACACAGUAAGCAAGAAGUAGAGAAUUCAAAUCUGGACUGGCUUGUGUUUAAAAACUUCUAAGGGGAAGUGCUAUCUAUUUCUUUAAUUUGACACUGAUGCAUUAUUGGAUAGUGCUAACAGACUUUGUACUAGACAGAUAAGCCAACUCUCUAAGACAGUUCACACAGCAGACACCACUCAUACACAGACACGCAGACAAAACCAGAUAUACACAGAGACAGGCACAGACACAGGAACAAACAAUUUCACAGGCCAGACUUAAGCACAGAUUCAGACUCACACAACAGACAGGCAGAGGGCAGAAGACACACAGAGCACAGAUUUGACAAUUCAAAUCUGGAUUUGCUGUUGGCUAAAUGACUCCAUGGAGAAGCACUUUUAUUGUUAUUUUUAAAUGUUACAUCAGGGAGUUACUGUUGUCAGAGUUAAUCACUAAUAUGCACGAUUCUUGCAUGGUGAGUUUUCCUUAUCAUAUCUGGGCAGAGAGCGGCUCCCUGUGAUUUUCUCACUUCCCACUGGAUGUUUCCCCCAGCCAAACAGAAGUCUGGAUAGGUAAAAGUCUUGUCAAAAUUAUGUUGAAAACUCACCACAUUUCAUAUUCUUUUAAGAGUCCAAUAACCGAAGUAGUUAGACACAAAUUCUAGUCACUUUAAAGGGCGUCAUUAACUGUUUUGAAGCAACUCAUUGUGUCUUAACUUCUUUUAUGUUAUUCUAAAAUAUGUCCCCCAGAAAAGCAACAGAGAGGAGGAAGGGAUUUAUUUGGCACACAUGGAGAUUGAGCCAGGUGGUUAUAACACAUCUACAGACAUGAGUAGUGAAACUAACGCUCCCAAGCCACCUAUGCUAAGAU